CAGCUCUCCCAGCCUUUCCUCACAGGCAGAUGCUCCAGUCCCCUCAGCACCUCAGUGGCCUGUGCUGGACUCUCUCCAGUAGCUCCUUGUCCCUCUUGAACUGGGGAGCCAAGCACUGGUCCCAAUAUUCUAGAUGUGGCCUCCCCAGGGCAGAGCAGAGGGGCAGGAGAACCUCCCUCAACCUUCUGACCACACUGUUCCUAACACACCCCAGGAGGCCACUGUCCCUCCUUGGCUGCAAGGACACAUUGUUGGCUCAUGAUCAUCAGCCUGUUGCCCACCAGGAACCCAAGGUCCUUCUCCCCAGAGCUGCUCUCCAGCAGGUCAGCCCCAGCCUGGCCUGAUCCAUGGGGUUGUCCCUCCCCAGAUGCAGCUCCUGACACCUGCCCUCGUUGAAUUUCCUGAAGUCCCCACCCAGCCAGUGAAUCUGUGAGCACAGCGAGGGCUGAGCUGGUGGGGCAGGACAGCUCAGUGCUCUUCUUGAUCUCCAUCCCCUUUCUGCUCAACAGGGAUGUUCUUGUCAGCCUCAGGAGUCUCCAGCCCCUUCCUGGUGCCUGCUCAGCUCGGUUUUAUUUCAUGACUCUGAAUUCCAAAUUUAUUUCACCAGGGGACACAUUCUGCCUGGGAGAGGUCUCCACAUCAGCCUGGGAAAUACCUGCUAAAGAGCAAAGCCCCCGAGGCAAAGAGGUUGAACCUUCUGUGGACCAGUUUGUGCCCAUUGCCCCUUGUUCUGUCCCUGGACAUCACAGAGGAGAGUCUGGCUCCAUCCUCCUGACACCCGCUGUAGGCUUCAGUCCAGCCUUGGCCAUGACUGCUGCUCCACAACUGGGAGCUUUGCAAGACCAGAAGAUGCUCUCCAGGGUGCUCCUGGAGCGAGGAACCUGCUGCCAGCACUGCAGACUGCUCAGAGCUGAGCUGCCUGCUUGUCAGAGUCCAUUCUAAAGGAAGGCUGAUCACUUUGGUGUAUCUGCUACAGGAGCUGUACAGGUCCUAUGGUGAUAAACACAACCUACAGAUGUGCUCAGGAACAGGUUCUCUUCCAAUGCUUUCAUAAAUCCUACAGACAGAAGAGGUGAUGAAGAAAAACUUCAGAAGCAAAGGUCUGAGUUACCAAUGAUAAUCAGGUGUCUGGAAUUAGUGGGAACGGGGCACUUAAUAACUUCUCAUAGCCUGGGGCAAUAGGAAAUCUCAGCAGUCCUGAGAUCCUUCAAACCUUCCUUAAGCCUUGCUCAAGCUCCCACCAGGGAACUUUCCCAUGCCACCUGUAUUUCUGCAGCAGGCACAUUGACAACCACAGAGGGUCCCAGCACUUGCUGAGCCAGAGGGAAUGAGAGAGGUGGCCAGUGGUGAAAGCUUUGUCCUCAGAGAUCUGUGAACAACCACCUCUGCUUGGAUGGUUUCAGUGUUUCAUGCAAGUGGGGCAUUUUGGAAGGAAGCCACAGAAUAUCCUGCUGCCCAUUUUGUCCCGUUACUAGGGUGAACACUGAAGAAACAGGUGGUGAGAGUUCAACUCUGUGCUCUGGAGAUAAAAACGUAAUGGAGACCAUUUGCUUUCCCACAGCCCGGGUGCUCUGGCUCCACGUUUGUAGGUGACAGAGCAGCUGCCUCCUGGUCGUACCACGUUGGCUGAGUUGCAAGGCUCCUCCUCUGCUUGUGUGCUCUGGUGGGAGGCUGGACAUCUAACUGUGGGCUGAGGCUCCCACCAGGUCCAGCCUGAGGUAAUUUCUUCAUAUGGCACAGAGAGGCAAGGCCCAGUUGGGACAGGGAAGGCAGGAAGCAAUGAGCUGCUUCCUCUUCUGCAGCCCCUCCAACGUGGUGCCAGCACCUCAGGGACCAGGUGCUCCCCCUGGCUCCGUGCUUCUGAGGACCAAAGGGCAAUGCAAGGAAGGAUUUAGACCCAGAAGCUCUCCCAGCCGUUGUGGAGCUCCAUCCCUAAGGGCUGAUGCAACCUUCCUUUGUUUUCAUGGGCACCAACAGCCUCACUGGCAGCAUCGUUUGCUGCCAAGACCAGUUCAGUUAUUGUGAAGCAAGAGGUCUGUGUAAUUCUCUUUGAGAUGAUGUGAUGCUGUAAGGACAUUUGUGUUUAAAGUUUGUGUUCUCUUGUCUUUCCUCUUUUCAUUUUACACAACUUCCUAGCUCCCCUUGCAGCAAGUCUUGCUGUUGUACAUUGUGGUGACUUUAAAGAGAACAUAGGGAAGCUGUGGCUGCCCCAUCCCUGGCAGUGUUGAAGGGCAGGUUGGAUGGGGCUUGGAGCAACCUGGGCUGGUGGGAGGUGUCCCUGCCCACGCAGGGGGUUGGAUCUAGAUGAACUUUAAGGUCCCUUCCAACCCAAACCACUCUAUGUUCAGACAUGCAGGGAGUCCUACAAGUCUUCCUUAGCUCAUCCAUGACAGUGACUGCCAAAGCAGGUGACAUUAUCCAAAUGAGCUCCUUUGGAGUUCACUGCACUGCUUGGAUCCCCACGGUGGGUUUGGUGUCAUCACUGAGCUAAGGCUUUUCCUUUUGGAUGAAUUCUUGUCAGCCUUCUGGACAUACUGGUCUUUAUUGAUUGAAGAGUCUUUCUCACCUUCUGAAGGAACAGUAUUUCCAGUUUGCUUCUGCUAUCAUAAAAUAUGAAAAGAAGAUCAAGGAAUCAAAUGUUAUUUUGGACUUUCUUAAGUAAUUAGCAGGAUCAAACCAGAUCCUUUCUGCCAGAAAUCAACAUAAGGUCAGCAACUGAACUUCAGGAUGUCAGAGGUAGUAGCAACUUUAUAACUUUUCUAUAAGCAAAACCAUGUUAUGCCUAGAAUGGCACAUUUAAAAUCUAUCUAUCUAUCUAUCUAUCUAUCUAUCUAUCUAUCUAUCUAUCUAUCUAUCUAUCUAUCUAUCUAUCUAUAUGUACCAAGAAUCCAAAAACUAUGAAGAACUCUGGGCCUCCCAUUUUCCAACCAUGACUAUCCAGAAAUCUCAUUUAGGAAUGUGGGUGAGUUGCACAGAGUCACUCAACCCAGCUGACCACUCUGGUGUUUGAAACCCUUUCCUAGCUUGUACAAUAACGUGCUAAUUAAAGAGACUGAAGAGCACUUUUCCUAAUCCUUCUGAUUUUCCUCCCACAGCCUCCUGCACCCUCUGUCUGUACAGCUCAUGCUGGUUGCCUGGUCUGGCUGCUACAUUUGUCCCUGCAGCACUUGACAUCACACACUGACCAGGCUCUUCGGGCAGUGCCAGAUGGUGAACUGCUUGGAACGGGGUUUUAAAAACCCACUUAAUGUUUGCCUUUUCCUUUCUGAGAGAUUUACCUUGACUGGGCUUAAGUCAAUCAGGACUGAAUUCCAGAACCAAGAUGCAGUUUGAUUCUGUCUCAAUCCUUUAAAAAACUGUGUUGCUUUAUACUGUCAAAUAUCACGGAUAGGGAAGUGUCACCUUCCAGCUAAGGGGCUACCACAAGACAAUGAUUUAAAACAUGUGCUGUGCUUGCCCGUGCCUGGGGCAGGUGGAUCCCUUAGCACCUGCUCCUCCAUGCAAAGGCUCUGCUGGGCACAGUGUUGCUGCUGGCAGCUUCAGUGGUGACAGACUGACAGACAAAUGGUGCUUCAGGCAGCUCUGCAGGAGAUGCGGUUUCGUGAGACAAGGGGUACAGCUGAUUGCCAUCACCCCAAGGAAAACCACCAUGGAGGAGCAGAAAACAACCUGUUUUCCAGGACCUUAAGAGAUGUAUCACUGAGGUCCUGAGUGCCAAGGUUAGAUCUUAUUUCUGCACCUUUUCUGCACUUUCUUCAAGCCCUUAAGGACCACAGUCUUUAGGAACAAGUUCCUUCAAGAUGCUAGUUGGGAGAAAUAUCAGAAGACAUUAGAAGAUGAUGGCCAUAAAUGCCUGCAAGGUGUGUCCUCCAGGCAGGAAAGGGAGUAACUACAUCCCCUGGUCAUGGGAGUGUGGAAAAGGGACUCUAUAACUUCAUAGUGGCAGAUUUGGGAAAAUAAUCUCUGGUCCUGAGAAGAUGCAGAGUUCUUCUCCAGACCUGAAAAAGCAUUUGGACAGAAUUGCUUUGUGUACAGAAAACAGAAGAAAAUAGGGACUAAAAUGUUUUGAGAGGAAAAAGCAAGACAAGGAUGGACUGGCAGGAAGACUGUAGCUGGACGGUCUCCUGGGUUCCAGACAGCAGGCAUAGUAUAUUCUUGUAAACAGAACUGCAUUAAUUUGUCUGCAACCAGAGUUUUCCCCUUCAAGGCCCCUGCCUUUGGCUUAUUGUUCAGUUACCAUGAAGUUCAACUUUGGACAGUAACUUUCACCCUUGUUUAAUGCUGCUUGUGUCUCUCUUUUUCUCAAACAGCCCAAAAGUGACUAAAUCCACUUAAAUUUUUGCUGAGAGGUUCAAACCUCUGACUUUCCGUGCAUUUUCAUGCAGCUGCCAUCCAAUGUCAUACUCCCUAAGUGUUUUAGGUUGUCUGAGAGCAAUUCUACUUUUGACUCCAGUUGACAACCAUGCAGGAUCAUUUUUGGAGCGAAAGAUGAAUUUAUGGCUAAUUAUGACACUUCCCACUUCCUCACAAUUUCACAGCGCUCUGGAUGUUGUUUUCUGCUUUUCUCUCAAAUCAUUGGUGGAUGCUGCCUCAAAGGAAAAAUAAAAUGGGUGGGAGACCAUCUUCAGUGUUACAGGAACACGGGGUGUGUGGGCUCAGCUCAUCAACAGCUGCCUGCAGUGCCUGGAAAUCCACCUUAUCCCUGCAAGCCUGUGGCAAGUGACAAGGACAAUGCUGUCAGGACCCUGCUGAUAUUGAAGUAAGAAUGGAAAGUAAUCUUUUGAAGUUGGAUUUCAGAGGUUUAACAGGGGAAAAAUAAAUGUUGUCACACUAGGAAAGCUGAAAUUGAUCCUGUUCUGGUGCUGCAUAUGGAAUAUGUUGGGUGUCAUUUGCAACUGAGGCAAGCAAAAAGGGAGAUGAAAGGAAGACCAAGGAUGGACAAGAUGGGCACUCGUUUCUUGUGGGUGAUUAAAAAGUUAAAUGGUACAGACUGCAUCAUCUCCCGCUCGUGUAGAAGGAAUAAUACAAGUUUAGACCAUGUAAUGGGAAGUUAUGGGACUCCAAGAAUGCAAAUG